AUUCCAGCUCCAAUAGCGUAUAUUAAAGUUGUUGCGGUUAAAAAGCUCGUAGUUGGAUUUCUGUUGAGGACGACCGGUCCGCCCUCUGGGUGAGCAUCUGGCUCGGCCUUGGCAUCUUCUUGGUGAACGUAGCUGCACUUGACUGUGUGGUACGGUAACCAGGACUUUUACUUUGAGGAAAUUAGAGUGUUUCAAGCAGGCAUACGCCUUGAAUACAUUAGCAUGGAAUAAUAAGAUAGGACCUCGGUUCUAUUUUGUUGGUUUCUAGAGCUGAGGUAAUGAUUAAUAGGGAUAGUUGGGGGCAUUCGUAUUUAACUGUCAGAGGUGAAAUUCUUGGAUUUGUUAAAGACGAACUACUGCGAAAGCAUUUGCCAAGGAUGUUUUCAUCA
rnacentral:rRNA from 1 species